AUACAGUUUAAAAUAAUUAUUCUGUCGUCAGUCUAAAGACAACACAAUGUUCAGACUUACCAGCAGAAUUCUUAUCAGUGUGUUUCUGAUAUUUCUCUUUAACACAGAAGUGUCGAGUCAAGAAUAUACACUGAAAUGUCCACCUGUUCCCGGGGAUGGACACGGCCACUGCGCUGACAUGUGUGGACAUACUGGUUGUAAAAAUGGAUAUCUUUGCUGUUCAGUUGGCUGUGGUAAAGAUUGCAGAAAGGGAAUUCGGAUUAACAAUUAAAACCGCAAUCACCUACAUAUGUGGCUACCAGAUUGAAAAAGUUAUAUUUCAGAUAAAGGACAGUUGUUCUUUUGAUAUUUGUCUUUGCCUUAACACUGACUUUGGAAUGGAACGUCUUCUCAAGUAAAAAGUAUUAAGUGUA